UGGGGUUGCACGUAAGGUCAUCGGGUCAAAGGCCGUGACGCACGGAGCAACUCAAUCCAUGUGGAGGAUAAGGCAGCUUCCGGCAUACACUGUUAAUACACGGAACGCCUACUUUCUUACUCGUUAAAAAACGCUGAAUAGGUCAUUUUUUGCGCUGUAAAUAAUUGUGGAAAUCGGGGUAGCUACAUCACUACUAUUUCAAGAUUCAGACGGUCGAUGUUAAUGGGGAGAAGGUGAAGCUGCAGAUCUGGGAAACCGCUAGGCAAGAACGAUUCCAUACAACCAUGUCUACGGUUUAGGAGCCAUUGCUGUGGACGGAGAGACGGGGAUGUGAGCGGCCAUUGAGG